AGAAAAAGAUGGACCAAUAUCACCAAAGAAAAAGAAGCCCAAAGAAAGAAAACAAAAGAGAUUGGCUGUGGGAGAACUAACUGAAAAUGGUUUGACAUUAGAAGAAUGGUUGCCAUCAACAUGGAUUACAGAUACUAUUCCCCGAAGAUGUCCAUUUGUGCCACAGAUGGGUGAUGAGGUUUAUUAUUUCCGACAAGGACAUGAAGCCUAUGUUGAAAUGGCCCGGAAAAAUAAAAUAUAUAGUAUCAAUCCCAAAAAACAACCAUGGCAUAAAAUGGAGCUACGGGAACAAGAACUUAUGAAAAUAGUUGGCAUAAAGUAUGAAGUGGGAUUACCUACCCUUUGCUGCCUUAAACUUGCUUUUCUAGAUCCUGAUACUGGUAAACUGACUGGCGGAUCAUUUACCAUGAAAUACCAUGAUAUGCCUGACGUUAUAGAUUUCCUAGUCUUGAGACAACAAUUUGAUGACGCAAAAUAUAGGCGAUGGAAUAUAGGUGACCGCUUCAGGUCUGUCAUAGAUGAUGCCUGGUGGUUUGGAACAAUUGAAAGCCAGGAACCUCUUCAACUUGAGUACCCUGAUAGUCUGUUUCAAUGCUACAAUGUUUGCUGGGACAAUGGAGAUACAGAAAAGAUGAGUCCUUGGGAUAUGGAGCUUAUACCUAAUAAUGCUGUAUUUCCUGAAGAACUAGGUACCAGUGUUCCUUUAACUGAUGGUGAGUGCAGAUCACUGAUCUAUAAACCUCUUGAUGGAGAAUGGGGUACCAAUCCCAGGGAUGAAGAAUGUGAAAGAAUUGUGGCAGGAAUAAACCAGUUGAUGACACUAGAUAUUGCCUCAGCAUUUGUGGCCCCCGUGGAUCUGCAAGCCUAUCCCAUGUAUUGCACAGUAGUGGCAUAUCCAACGGAUCUAAGUACAAUUAAACAAAGACUGGAAAACAGGUUUUACAGGCGGGUUUCUUCCCUGAUGUGGGAAGUUCGAUAUAUAGAGCAUAAUACACGAACAUUUAAUGAGCCUGGAAGCCCUAUUGUGAAAUCUGCUAAAUUCGUGACUGAUCUUCUUCUACAUUUUAUAAAGUAAGUUAUCUUUUCAUAUGUAAUUAUGAUAGUUUUAAUAAUUAGUGGCACUACAGUUCCUCUUAAAAUAGAAAACAUACUGUUUGUAAAGAAGAAACAUUUAAGAGUAGCCAAAAUAGCUCAGCUGGGAGAGCAUUAGACUGAAGAUCUAAAGGUCUCUGGUUUGAUCCUGGGUUUCAGAAGAAACAGUUCAUUGGCUAAUAAUAAGAAUGAAAUCAUAAAAAUCGUAUUACCAUUGUGUUUUAAGGUUAAAAUUGUUUAAAAAAAGAUUAUUUUCUCAAUCUGUUAGACAAUAAUAAUAGUAAAAAUUUAUUUAACAUGUAAUGUUUUACCUACGUUAACUCUUCUAACCCAAAUAACAAUCUUACAGGUGGAAGAGAUAAUUAUCUGGAAUUUUGAAUUGAGGAAACUGUGGCCUAUAGUGGUUAACAUGUAUAAGGUUGCACGGUAAAUGAGUGUCUGCCAUCUGAUUUGAGAAUUUUUCAUCCUAACAGUAUAUUGCCCCUGUCAAGUAUAUUAACAAGUAUUUAAAUAGUCCAGCAGGAGACUGAAUUUAACUUUCAUGAUUCUUCUUCAAAGUCAAGUUUACUUCCUCAUUGAUCCCAUAACAAGAGUGAUAAGCACUAUUUAUUAAGGCAGAAGUACUUUCCCUUCCUUAUCUUAAGGAUUUUAUGCAAUCAUAUAAUGAAUUGAGCCUCCUAAGUUGAAGGCAGAGAAAUGAAUUCUAUAUUUUGUACAAAGACUGCUGUGAUUACAUGUCAUUAUUUGUAUUGAAUUUUUUUUUCCUGGUUGAGAAGUAGUAACAGCAUUUUAAAAGCUUACUUAGCUGUUAUCAGCUUUCAUUUUUACAUAAUGAAAAAUUCAGGAUUAUUCAGUGUUUUUUUUUUAAUAAACAUCCCUGCUUCAUUCUCAUUAAUGGACAUAAUCUUUGAGCUCCUUUUUGAUUAAUGUUUUUUAACUGAGGAAUGCAGGUCAUUUGAGUAUAAGAAAACCCAAACAUAAUUAAUAAGGUAAAGUUUGUGCCCUUUCUCUACCUUAUUCUCUAAGAAAUCUAUUGCUUUCCAAUGGUUUGGGGGCUAUUAUUGCUAUGCUUUUGUUUUCCUUAUUGAAAUUAGUAAUUAAGCAUUAUCCUCUGAAGACUCUUAUGUCUGUAAUUUUUUACAGACAUAAGGGCUAUAGACAGACAUAAGUGUUAUAACUAUGUGUAUGUGUAUCUGUUAUAACUAUGUGUAUGUGUAUAACUAUGUGUAUGUGUAUCUGUUUUUUCAAAGAGAAUCAGUAGAACUACAUGAGAUAGUAUAUUCAUAUUUCAGUGAAAUAAUUUAGAUGAAAAUUGUUAAUACAUUUGAAAGUCUGUGAAAUGUAUUUCUUUCAAACGGCUACUUUGAAAUGUCUUUGAAGACAGAUUCACGAAAUACUUAAAGCAUUUGUAUUGUAUAUUUCUAAAAAUAAAUCCGUGGCAUUUUUUUUAGAUGUGUAUAGUUUGUUUAAAAAUACUUUUUUUUUAGCAGAUAGUCUUCAAGAUAUUAAGUAUUCCUUGAAAUUUUGAUUAUUAUACUUUUUAAUUGAGUUAUUUGGCAAAAUUUCAAGCAAUUGAUACAUACAAAGUAAUGUGAUGGAUCCUUUUAAUACAGUUUCAUAGGAUAGAUAAAUCUGUAAGAAACUAUAAUAUAAGGAAAACUGUGACAAGUAGUAAGAGAAUUGUAUGAAAGUUUAGAUAAGAAUAGGAUUACUUUUAGCUGUUAUGAUGGGGAUUCAGAUACAGGGGAGGAGAAGUAUGUUAAGAAGACAUUGUAUACAAGGUGUAGAUACUGAUAGAUUCUGGAAAUGUUAGAUGAAAAGAAAGCCAUUCCAGGGAUAAGGAGCAGCGUGAGGUAGGGAGUUUUAAUUAAGGGUAAUAUAAAUUGGAGAAGUCACAGUAGAGAUACAGUGCUAUAAAUCUGAGUUGGGGCCACAUCGUAGGUGGCUUUGAAUACGAAUCUAAAAUAUAAGCUCUGAGAGCAAGGGGCUGUUGAAAGUAUAUUAACAUGAGAAUAACAUGUUUUACACUAUGCCUUAAAAAUGUUAAUUUGACUGCAGUGUCUAAUUUAAUUGACAGAGAAGAGACAAAAAGCAUAAAUAGCAGAUUGACUGCUACAGUUGACCAACUAAGAGUUGAUGAGGGCUUAAUUUAUGAAAGUGAGAAAGGGACAGAUGCCCAGACAUACUUGAGGAUAGAGUUCACAGCCCUUGACCACUAAUUGGGUUUAUAAGGAGGAGGAAAGGGAAAGAAUAAUGAAAAACCAAGAUUCCCAUUACUGUAAGAAUGAUAUGUUGUUAAAGAAAAAUAGAAAAAGGAACAAGGAUAUCUGGGGAGUCACUAUUAAGUUUAGACGUGGAAUUUUAGGUGAUGGUAGAAUGCUCAGGAGAAGGGUUAGGACAAAUUGCAGGAAUUUUGGAAUUCAUUUACACAGAUAAACCACAAGUAUGUGAAGUUAUCAAAGCAAAAGGUACAGUGUCAAGAGAAGAUGCGUUAAGAACAAAGUUUUAGGAAAUACAUUUAAAAAUAAAGAGUUGGAAGACAAGAAAUGUAUUAGCUCUUUGAAGACUGAGGAAUGGAAGAAGCACAGCAGAUACCUAAGCAAAGACUGGGAGAUGAGACUUGGGUUUGGUAUAAUGAUAUACUGAGGCCACACUGAAAGCUCUACAUAGAGUGGAGGGGUCAGGGUUAAAUGUGUGUGCAUAAAUUAUUGGAGUAAGCCAAUGGAGAAGAAAGCAAGCCUUCAGUUUCAACUUUUACCUUAAAAUAUGGUUUUAGGGACAAAUUUUUAAGGAAAAAAAUUAUCAUGGUUCUAAUCUUACAUGUUAACAUUUCCUUGUUAUGUAGGGAUCAGACUUGUUAUAACAUAAUUCCACUUUAUAAUUCAAUGAAGAAGAAGGUUUUGUCUGAUUCUGAGGAUGAAGAGAAAGAUGCUGAUGUGCCAGGAACUUCUACUCGAAAAAGGAAGGACCAUCAGCCUAGAAGAAGAUUACGUAAUAGAGCCCAGUCUUACGAUAUUCAAGCAUGGAAGAAACAGUGUGAAGAAUUGUUAAAUCUCAUAUUUCAAUGUGAAGAUUCAGAGCCUUUCCGUCAGCCGGUAGAUCUCCUUGAAUAUCCAGACUACAGAGACAUCAUUGACACUCCAAUGGAUUUUGCUACUGUUAGAGAAACUUUAGAGGCUGGGAAUUAUGAGUCACCAAUGGAGUUAUGUAAAGAUGUCAGACUUAUUUUCAGUAAUUCCAAAGCAUAUACACCAAGCAAAAGAUCAAGGAUUUACAGCAUGAGUUUGCGCCUGUCUGCUUUCUUUGAAGAACACAUUAGUUCAGUUUUAUCAGAUUAUAAAUCUGCUCUUCGUUUUCAUAAAAGAAAUACCAUAACCAAAAGGAGAAAGAAAAGAAACAGAAGCAGCUCUGUUUCCAGUAGUGCUGCAUCAAGCCCUGAAAGGAAAAAAAGGAUCUUAAAACCCCAGCUAAAAUCAGAAAGCUCUACCUCUGCAUUCUCUACACCUACACGAUCAAUACCGCCAAGACACAAUGCUGCUCAGAUAAACGGUAAAACAGAAUCUAGUUCUGUGGUUCGAACCAGAAGCAACCGAGUGGUUGUAGAUCCAGUUGUCACUGAGCAACCAUCUACUUCUUCAGCUGCAAAGACUUUUAUUACAAAAGCUAAUACAUCUGCAAUACCAGGGAAAACAAUACUAGAGAAUUCUGUGAAACAUUCCAAAGCUUUGAAUACUCUUUCCAGUCCUGGUCAAUCCAGUUUUAGUCAUGGCACUAGGAAUAAUUCUGCAAAAGAAAACAUGGAAAAGGAAAAGCCAGUCAAACGUAAAAUGAAGUCAUCUGUACUCCCAAAGGCGUCCACUCUUUCAAAGUCAUCAGCUGUCAUUGAGCAAGGAGAUUGUAAGAACAACGCUCUUGUACCAGGAGCCAUUCAAGUAAAUGGCCAUGGAGGACAGCCAUCAAAACUUGUGAAGAGGGGACCUGGAAGGAAACCUAAAGUAGAAGUUAAUACCAAUAGUGGUGAAAUUAUACACAAGAAAAGGGGUAGAAAGCCCAAAAAGCUACAGUAUGCAAAGCCAGAAGAUUUAGAGCAAAAUAACGUGCAUCCCAUCAGAGAUGAAGUACUUCCUUCUUCAACAUGCAAUUUUCUUUCUGAAACUAAUAAUGUAAAGGAAGAUUUGUUACAGAAAAAGAAUCGUGGAGGUAGGAAACCCAAAAGGAAGAUGAAGACACAAAAAUUAGAUGCAGAUCUCCUAGUCCCUGCAAGUGUCAAAGUGUUAAGGAGAAGUAACCGAAAAAAGAUAGAUGAUCCUAUAGAUGAGGAAGAAGAGUUUGAAGAACUCAAAGGCUCUGAACCCCACAUGAGAACUAGAAAUCAAGGUCGAAGGACAGCUUUCUAUAAUGAGGAUGACUCUGAAGAGGAGCAAAGGCAGCUGUUGUUCGAAGACACCUCUUUAACUUUUGGAACUUCUAGUAGAGGACGAGUCCGAAAGUUGACUGAAAAAGCAAAAGCUAAUUUAAUUGGUUGGUAACUUGUACCAAAAUAUUUUACUUCAAAAUCUAUAAAGCAGGUACAGUUAAGGAAUAAGUAGAACUAAGGCUUCUGCUUCCUUGCUGCUGUGGUGGAGUAGGGAAUGUUAUGAUUUGAUUUGCAAAAAAAAAAAAAAACAAAAAAAAACAA
rnacentral:sRNA from 1 species